CGUGGUCACGCACUGACCUGAUGACAGGGACGGGGGACCCAUCUUCGGGUUCCGCUCGCGGAGCCCUUGGGGUGAAGCCGGAUGUUCCAUCCGGCCGGGUACUUCUCCUACCCGAACCCGACAGCUCACCUCGCAGGCGCAAGGAGAGGGACC
rnacentral:sRNA from 2 species